GAUGAACGCUAGCGACAGGCCUAACACAUGCAAGUCGAGGGGCAGCACAUGAGUAGCAAUACGAUGGUGGCGACCGGCGCACGGGUGAGUAACACGUAUGCAACCUACCUGUAAGAGGGGGAUAACCCGGAGAAAUUCGGACUAACACCGCAUAAUACCACGAGACUGCAUGGUUUUGUGGUUAAACAUUUAUGGCUUACAGAUGGGCAUGCGUAUGAUUAGAUAGUUGGUAGGGUAACGGCCUACCAAGUCUACGAUCAUUAGGGGUUCUGAGAGGAAGGUCCCCCACACUGGUACUGAGACACGGACCAGACUCCUACGGGAGGCAGCAGUGAGGAAUAUUGGUCAAUGGGCGAGAGCCUGAACCAGCCAAGUCGCGUGAAGGAAGAAGGUUCUAUGGAUUGUAAACUUCUUUUGCAGGGGAAUAAAGGACGGUACGUGUACUGUUUUGUAUGUACCUUGCGAAUAAGGAUCGGCUAACUCCGUGCCAGCAGCCGCGGUAAACUCG
rnacentral:rRNA from 1 species